GGAUUAAUGUGUAAUGGCAUAUUUUUUAAAAGUCAUGUAUGUGUUCUACAGUUCAUAAUUAGUGAGCCGUAAUGCAUGGGUAAUCGCUCGUCCCAAACACAGGAUCAACAUGUAUUGCCAUUACGUCUUGAGGUAUUUCACAUAGCAGGGCCUAGUUAAUUCAAAAUUUGUGUAACUGGAGUGCAACCAAAGACUGUACAUUUUGUAUUACAGAAAAAAAUAAGGAAAAAAAAAAAAAGCAUGCUAUUCUCCCUUUCUGCAGUGGUAUAUGGUAACUGUUAAGUCACAGCCUGAACCAUUGAUUGAGCACCUGGAGAAGGGACCAGGUCAGCCCUGAGAACACAGGUGAAGGCAAUUCAGCUGUGUGACUGGGAAGGGGUAGAGACUGGCUGCGCCUCUCUUAGAUUUCAUUUAAGGGCUGACAGCCACUAGGGAAGGAUCUCUUCCUGGAAGUCCCUCCUUGGUGAAGCUUUCUCCUGCAAACCUGAAAUCUGAUACAGAUGAGCAAUCUUCUUCCCUUUCUUUAUAUAACACUUCUCUAUUGUGGGAUGGCAGCACAAAUAGCUGGAAGCUACACUGUGUGAAUGAACUACUUAUGGGUGCUGAUACAAGGGAGAAUUAACACAGCUGACAACAAGUUUCAUGAAUUUUUGAAACUGUGUGGGGUUGCAGAGUAUCCAAGAAGAAAGCACCAAUAGCUUGUCAGUCUGUGAUUUAUGUUGGUUUUACCAUCCCUUAGGGAUACUGAAGCCUGGGGGUGAGCACUAGGAGGCUGUACAUCAAAUACCAAAGCCAAAGUCUUUGCAAGCUUCCUUAGGUAUGGAAGGACGCUGUAGAUUGUAGAUACCAAACCGUGGACCGAUCAAGGAUCAUGAAAUAUUGAAGUUGUGAAAGGAGGAGAAAUUUUAGACUGGAAACCAGAAUGCCAAACAGUGUUUAUUCAACUAAGAGCAGGUCUCUACUCCUGCUGUAGGACUGCCCAGUCUGGAAAAGCCUUUUGAAUUCUGUGUGCAUGAAAGAUGUCACACUGCACUGGGAGACUUAGUAGAACACAUUGGAUCCAGGAAGAGACCAGCAGGAUAUUAUUCUAGACAAUUGGAUCAAGUAAAUUUAGGGUGACGAUCACAUUUAUGAGCAGUGGAAACAUAUUUGUAGCACAGUCCAAAUGCAGGAGGAAAGCCAAAGUCCUGGCCAACUCACAGCCAACAGCAGCCCCGGGGCUGCCUGUGUGUCCGAAAUGCAGCGACAUCCCCAAGAUGUCAGAAACACCCCCAGAACAAGGCUGCAGCUGCCAGCCUGGCCUCCACCACA